GUCGUACGAGAAAGCUGGUUUUUAGCUUGCUAAUGUCCGGCGAGUAAAGUGGCGAACGGGUGAGUAACACGUGGGUAAUCUACCCUUGAGUUUGGGAUAAGCCCGGGAAACUGGGUCUAAUACCGGAUGAUAUCCUCAGGUGGCAUCAUUUGAGGAUCAAAGGCGUUAUGGGGCGACCUGUUUCGCUGCUCGAGGAUGAGCCCGCGGUCCAUUAGCUUGAUGGUAAGGUAACGGCUUACCAUGGCUACGAUGGAUAGCCGGCCUGAGAGGGUGGACGGCCACACUGGGACUGAGAUACGGCCCAGACUCCUACGGGAGGCAGCAGUAGGGAAUAUUGCGCAAUGGGCGAAAGCCUGACGCAGCGACGCCGCGUGGGUGAUGAAGCUCUUUGGAGUGUAAAACCCUGUCAGUGGGGAAGAACCGCAUACGGAGGCAAUGCCGUAUGCCUGACGGUACCCGCAGAGGAAGCUCCGGCUAACUCCGUGCCAGCAGCCGCGGUAAUACGGGGGGAGCGAGCGUUGUUCGGAUUUACUGGGCGUAAAGGGCGUGUAGGUGGAUCGUCAAGUCAAAUGUGAA
rnacentral:rRNA from 1 species